AUUGAACGCUGGCGGCAUGCCUUACACAUGCAAGUCGAACGGCAGCACGGGGCAACCUGGUGGCGAGUGGCGAACGGGUGAGUAAUGCAUCGGAACGUGCCAUUGAGUGGGGGAUAACGUAGCGAAAGUUGCGCUAAUACCGCAUAUUCUGUGAGCAGGAAAGCAGGGGACCGCAAGGCCUUGCGCUCUUUGAGCGGCCGAUGUCAGAUUAGCUAGUUGGUGAGGUAACGGCUUACCAAGGCGACGAUCUGUAGCGGGUCUGAGAGGAUGAUCCGCCACACUGGAACUGAGACACGGGUCCAGACUCCUACGGGAGGCAGCAGUGGGGAAUUUUGGACAAUGGGCGCAAGCCUGAUCCAGCCAUGCCGCGUGAGUGAAGAAGGCCU
rnacentral:rRNA from 1 species